UUGUAGAGUAAGGGUGCUGGU
rnacentral:siRNA from 1 species